CAGCAGUAGCGGUGAAACAGAGCCCCCGAGCGUUAUCCGGAUUUACUGGGCGUAAAGCGUCCGUAGCCGGUCUGGAAAGUCUCGGGUUAAAUACCAAGGACUCAAUCUUUGGGAUGCCCGAGAAACUGAUAGACUAGAGGGUGUUAGAGGCUGAUGGAACUCUUAGUGGAGGGGUGAAAUCCGCUGAUAUUAAGAGGAACACCAAAGGCGAAGGCAUUCAGCUAGAGCAACCCUGACGGUGAGGGACGAAAGCGUGGGUAGGGAAAAGGAUUAGAUACCCUUGUACUCCACGCCCUAAACUUUGGAUGCUAGCUAUGUGAAGUGUCGACCCUUCACGUGGCGUAGGUAACCCGUUAAGCAUCCCGCCUGGGAAGUACGGUCGCAAGACUAAAACUCAAAGGAAUAGGCGGGGACCCACACAAGCGGUGGAACAUGUGGCUCAAUUCGUCAACAACCGAGGAACCUUACCAGGGUUUGAAACUCAGUCGAAGAGCACCAGAAACGGUGCUCGUCUCACAAGGACGGCUGAGCAGGUGCUGCACGGCUGUGAAAACGGCCAUUGUCGUCGCAAGGCGACAACAAAAAAACCAGCUCAAAACGGUGAAGCCCAAACUCUUUCGUGGUAACAUGAAGGAAUGGGUAAUACCGUGGGAAGUACGAGUGCUAAUCUAUGUAACUUCUUUGAAGACCAGAAAGAUGCAUAUAUCUUAGGUCUUUGGUGCGCAGAUUCUUACUGGUGGUCAAGUUCAAUCGGAUUGAGCAAUACCAAUAGGGAAUUGAUCGAAAAGUUUCGUUCAUUUCUCAUUGGAAAGGGGUUCCCAGAAGAUCGAAUUCGAUACAAUCGAGAUCAUCUCUUUGUGAAUAGUCGUCCAUUGCUUCGAGAGUUUGUUGCCGGCAAGAAGAUGCUCGAGAAAAUGGAUAAGGAAAAAACUAUCUGGCCAUAUCUGGCAGGAAGAUUUGAUGGAGAUGGAUGUAUUGAUGGAGAUU
rnacentral:rRNA from 1 species